UCCUUCAAUAUUACUAUAUGAUAGUUUACCAUGUCUACCAAACACCCUUGCUAUCAUGCCCCAUGUCAAUGGGGGCUUUUCAUAUUUAUCCUCUUGAAAAACCAUAGAGGUCCAGUUUCGACACGCUCAAAACUGGCAAAGAGCAUAUGGGGGGGUUGAGAAGAGGGGAGGAUCCCUAGAACUAGAGUGCGGUUCGGUUCUGUGCAGAUCAGAUCAAGGAACUAGUGUCCGGUUCUGUGCUGCCCAAAGCCAUGCCACUCACUCCGCAAACGCGUGCUCCCUAUCCGUACUGGUGGUGAACUUCGCGCCUUAUCCAUGGUCCCCAGCCUCAUCUCUCCCAUGUGGUUGCAUCUACAGAUGUGAAGGACUUGAGUCGAUCGUGAGAUCAGUGAAGGUACACCGCCCUUGCUUGAUCUCCAUCUGUAUGACGCCUACAGUUUUCCAGAGAUAUAAGAAGCCCCUGGAGAUGUACUGUCCUGGAUCCCACAGUGCGGUGAACUGAGGAGGAGUGUGCCGUCUCCGGUAAUGGUGAUGCUGCUGCUGCCUGGGAGUCCUCUCCUCGCUGCUGUGUGACUGAUCCCCUCCAACUGGGAUUGCUGUUUCCAGCCUCCCAUCAGGCCGUGCAAGUGUAGUGCCGCCACGCUAGUCCCACGGCCUCAUACCAGUGUAGCCGUACCCUUGGCGCUAUCCAUCUGGAAUCACAACCAAAGGCGAGCCGCUCCUUUCGGAUCCGGGUUGAAGCUACGUUUCCGUACUCCAACAAGCUAGCCUGAUGCAGCUUCUGACACGAGCCGUGCCCCUCGAAACAUCCCAUACAUCAAAUGGCGUUGCUCCGAGUGCCUUGAUCAUGGUGGAUCCACAACCAAGGCAAGAAAGGGAUCAGCCAACACAGCUGUACCGUACAAAUUGGGACUUCAGUGUGCCGUCGAAAGUUGUUCCUUUGCCGAUUGGGACUAGGUGUACAAUCGGAGGGUAGGGAAGUGCUGCCACGUAGUUUGAAGGACCCGGUGCGUGUCGGAGAAUAGUGUCCUUUGCAUAUUCAAAUGAGCAGCCGUAACGGCGCCAAGCGAGUUGUCCCCUCCUUAAGUGGAGCUUGGCUCUCCGGACCCCAAAACUCCGAACCCCAAGUGAAUGAGGAAGGAAGGACGCUGCCAAUGAGGUUCUGUGCAGCUAGUGUCCUUGGAAGAAGUUCCAGCAACCGUGGACUCCAAAGCCCCCAACUUGAACCAUGUUCCGAAAUUUGAACGUUUGGAUCUUGCUCGUGAACCGUUGGAUUGCCACGAAGUUUUGCUGGCGUGUGCUCCUUCAGAGGAUCUAUCUUCCCACCGUUGCGAUCAGUGAAAAGGUACGUGGUUCAGCCGCCGCCGCAAUCCCUAGGUCGUCCAUAACCCUAGCCGCCACCAGAGAUAGGGUCGCCUUGAUCUCCUGAUUCCUGGCUCCAAAUCGCCUGUUCUUGGACUCAGAAUGAUCGUGGGGAUGUGCUCUCUCCAGCCGUGAAAAGGAAUCGUGGGAAAUCCAUGUGGAGAGCUCGCAGUGACUAAAAGAGUACUCUUGACGCUUUCUCGCUCAUGGAACAUGCAAAUCCAGUGAAACCAAGGCACGGCUUGCUCUCAGCAUCGUCCUUAUUGCUCUCCUAGUCCUACUCCUACUCUGGAUCAAGCACGAAAGUCGACUCUCAAGGCGCUCCUCUUCUCGCUAAACUUAGGGUUUUUUCUCUAGUCCCUAUCAUGCCCCAUGUGUUGGUUUUAUUCCGGUCCCAUAUGCUAUUUAUGAUAAGUGUCUAAAUCCACUCAAG
rnacentral:lncRNA from 1 species